rnacentral:misc_RNA from 1 species
UUACUGAGUUUACGCUCUAUAACCCUUUGUGAACAUACCUAUAACUGUUGCUACGGCGGGUAGGGUCUCCGCGACCCUCCCGGCCUCCCGCCCCCGGGCGGGUCGGCGCCCGCCGGAGGAUAACCAAACUCUGAUUUAACGACGUUUCUUCUGAGUGGUACAAGCAAAUAAUCAAAACUUUUAACAACGGAUCUCUUGGUUCUGGCAUCGAUGAAGAACGCAGCGAAAUGCGAUAAGUAAUGUGAAUUGCAGAAUUCAGUGAAUCAUCGAAUCUUUGAACGCACAUUGCGCCCGCCAGCAUUCUGGCGGGCAUGCCUGUUCGAGCGUCAUUUCAACCCUCAAGCUCUGCUUGGUGUUGGGGCCCUACAGCUGAUGUAGGCCCUCAAAGGUAGUGGCGGACCCUCCCGGAGCCUCCUUUGCGUAGUAACUUUACGUCUCGCACUGGGAUCCGGAGGGACUCUUGCCGUAAAACCCCCAAUUUUCCAAAGGUUGACCUCGGAUCAGGUAGGAAUACCCGCUGAACUUAAGCAUAUCAAUAAGCGGAGGAAAAGAAACCAACAGGGAUUGCCUCAGUAACGGCGAGUGAAGCGGCAACAGCUCAAAUUUGAAAUCUGGCCCUAGGCCCGAGUUGUAAUUUGCAGAGGAUGCUUUUGGUGCGGUGCCUUCCAAGUUCCCUAGAACGGGACGCCAGAGAGGGUGAGAGCCCCGUACAGUUGGACACCAAGCCUUUGUAAAGCUCCUUCGACGAGUCGAGUAGUUUGGGAAUGCUGCUCAAAAUGGGAGGUAUAUUUCUUCUAAAGCUAAAUACCGGCCAGAGACCGAUAGCGCACAAGUAGAGUGAUCGAAAGAUGAAAAGCACUUUGAAAAGAGGGUUAAACAGCACGUGAAAUUGUUAAAAGGGAAGCGCUUGUGACCAGACUUGCGUCCGGUGAAUCACCCAGCUCUCGCGGCUGGGGCACUUCGCCGGCUCAGGCCAGCAUCAGCUCGCUGUCGGGGACAAAAGCUUCAGGAACGUAGCUCUCUUCGGGGAGUGUUAUAGCCUGUUGCAUAAUACCCUUCGGCGGGCUGAGGUACGC